rnacentral:sRNA from 12 species
UCCGGAUAAACUUGCAUCCAUCCAAGAGAAUGGGGCAAGUCACUUUACGGAAGUUAAAUUGAGUAACACAUUUCAGGAUUGCCAAAGGCUUACAUAUAAGCGAAAUCUUGAAAUGAUUAGGAUAACCGUAUGUCCUUUAGUGUUUUAUACUAUAAAAAUAAUCUUGAACAGCUUUGAUUAAGUUUUCAAGUUAUGGUCUG